rnacentral:rRNA from 1 species
CAGUCGCCACGGGAAUACGGAGGGUGCAAGCGUUAAUCGGAAUUACUGGGCGUAAAGCGCACGCAGGCGGUCUGUCAAGUCAGAUGUGAAAUCCCCGGGCUUAACCUGGGAACUGCAUUUGAAACUGGCAGGCUAGAGUCUUGUAGAGGGGGGUAGAAUUCCAGGUGUAGCGGUGAAAUGCGUAGAGAUCUGGAGGAAUACCGGUGGCGAAGGCGGCCCCCUGGACAAAGACUGACGCUCAGGUGCGAAAGCGUGGGGAGCAAACAGGAUUAGAUACCCCGGUAGUCCCUGUCUCUUAUAA